rnacentral:misc_RNA from 1 species
GAGAAUCAGAGCACUUAAAAAGAAGAUCCGAAUUGCAGAAGCUCAGUUGCAAAAAACACCACUGCAAGAUAUGAAGCCAGAGCAGUCGAACAAGUUAUCGAAACUUGAAACUUGGCGCUCCGAACUAACGCUUCUAGAAGAACAAAGGCUAAAACUAAAUUGCGCAUCAUGAAUGACUGCAGACAGCAUUAUUGUUCACUUUAUUUAUGCUUUAUGAUGAGAAAAAAGUGACCAGCGAUUGGUGCAACAAAAGCAUUUCGAUUUGCACUUAUGAAAAUCUAAUCACCCGUAAA